AAAUAGGUAUAUGAGGGGAACCGCCUGAACUGAAACAUCUAAGUAGGGCGAGGAAGAGAAAUCAACCGAGAUUCUGUGAGUAGUGGCGAGCGAAAGCGGAAGAGGCUAAACCAUAGGUAGCAAUACUUAUGGGGUUUCGGACAGCAUUUAGUAUUGAUAAUUUCUAGUUGAAACGUGUGGGAAAACGUACCGAAGAGUGUGAGAGUCACGUAAGCGAAAGAGAAAGUCAGCGAGCUGUAUCCAAAGUACCGCGGGACACGUGAAACCCCGUGGGAAGAUGGGGGGACCAUCCUCCAAGCCUAAAUACUACCUAAUGACCGAUAGCGAAUAGUACUGUGAAGGAACGGUGAAAAGAACCCCGGGAGGGGAGUGAAAAAGAACCUGAAACCCUAUGCUUACAAGCACCGAGAGCACGUCAAAGUGUGAUCGGGUACCUUUUGUAGAAUGGUCCGGCGAGUUAUUGUAUGCGGCAAGGUUAAGUGCUUAAGGCACGGAGCCGAAGCGAGAGCAAGUCUGAACAGGGCGAAAAAGUCGUAUGCAAUAGACCCGAAACCGAGUGACCUAUCCAUGUCCAGGCUGAAGUGGAGGUAAAACUCCAUGGAGGGCCGAACACACGUCCGUUGAAAAGGCCGGUGAUGAGGUGUGGAUAGCGGAGAAAUUCCAAUCGAACUCGGAUAUAGCUGGUUCUCUCCGAAAUAGCUUUAGGGCUAGCCUCGUGAAAGAUUACUGGAGGUAAAGCACUGAAUGGGCUAGGGGUCGAAAGAUUACUGAACCCUAUCAAACUAAGAAUGCCAGAUAAUUGAUUCACGGGAGUCAGACAAUGUGAGAUAAGUCUCAUUGUCAAAAGGGAAACAGCCCAGACCCACAGCUAAGGUCCCUAAACAUUGUUAAGUGGAAAAGGAUGUGGGGUUGCAUAAACAACCAGGAUGUUGGCUUAGAAGCAGCCACUCAUUAAAAGAGUGCGUAAUAGCUCACUGGUCGAGUGACCCUGCGCCGAAAAUUCAACGGGGCUAAACAAUGUACCGAAGCUUGGGAUUCUAAAGUAAUUUAGAGUGGUAGGAGAGCGUCGAAUAAGGGGUGAAGUCAGAGCGGAAGCGCUGGUGGACUUUAUUCGAGUGAGAAUGCCGGAAUGAGUAGCGAGAAUUAUGUGAGAAUCAUAAUGGCCGAAAAUCUAAGGUUUCCUGAGGAAGGUUCGUCCGCUCAGGGUAAGCCGGGGGCUAAGGCGAGGCGGAGACGCGUAGCCGAUGCACAUACGGUUGAAAUUCCGUAGCCACCGAAAGAUUUAAGUACAGGGACGCUUUAGAAGUGAUGUUGCCGGGCGAUGGUUGACCCGGUCGUAAGGGAUCGAAAAUGAGUAGAGAAGUCAUCAUGGAAAGAGACAAGAAAAGCUGUAUGUAUAUUUUAGGUGCCCGUACCGCAAACCGACACAGGUAGAUAGGAAGAAGAUUCUAAGGCCAACGGGAGAAGGGUUGUUAAGGAACUCGGCAAGUUGACCCCGUAACUUAGGGAUAAGGGGUGCUCAAGUGAUUGAGCCGCAGAGAAUAGGCCCAGGCGACUGUUUAGCAAAAACACAGGUCUCUGCUAAAUCGAAAGAUGACGUAUAGGGGCUGACACCUGCCCGGUGCCGGAAGGUUAAGAGGAGAUGUGAGAGCAUUGAAUUGAAGCCCCGGUAAACGGCGGCCGUAACUAUAACGGUCCUAAGGUAGCGAAAUUCCUUGUCAGGUAAGUUCUGACCCGCACGAAAGGUGUAACGAUCUGGGCACUGUCUCAACAACCCGCCCGGCGAAAUUGUAGUACCGGUGAAGAUGCCGGUUACCCGCGACUAGACGGAAAGACCCCAUGGAGCUUUACUGUAGCCUAAUAUUGGAUUUCGGUAUUUCACGUACAGGAUAGGUGGGAGACUGGGAAGCACAGGCGUCAGCUUGUGUGGAGUCGACCUUGGGAUACCACUCUUGGAGUGCUGGAAUUCUAACCUGCGGCUUUGAAGCAAGUCGGGGGACAUUGUUAGGUGGGCAGUUUGACUGGGGCGGUCGCCUCCUAAAGAGUAACGGAGGCGCUCAAAGGU
rnacentral:rRNA from 1 species